AUGGCCAUAUUACAUUGAAACAGAGGUUCCCAUACAAUCACUGAAGUUAAGCAACAUUGGGCCUGGUUAUUACCUAGAUGGGUGACCAUUUGGGAAUACCAGGUGCUGUAAG
rnacentral:rRNA from 1 species